CGAACGGGUGAGUAACACGUGAGCAACCUGCCCCGAAGACCGGGAUAACACCGGGAAACCGGUGCUAAUACCGGAUAUCCUCCUCAGGCCGCAUGACCUGAAGAGGAAAUGGAUUCCGCUUCGGGAGGGGCUCGCGGGCUAUCAGCUUGUUGGUGGGGUAACGGCUCACCAAGGCUCCGACGGCUAGCUGGUCUGAGAGGACGACCAGCCACACUGGGACUGAGACACGGCCCAG
rnacentral:rRNA from 1 species